UAAUACGAGGGGGGCUAGCGUUGUCCGGAUUCAUUGGGUGUAAAGGGCUCGUAGGCGGGCCGAUCAGUCGGAACUUAAAUCCCACGGCUCAACCGUGGACCUGGUUUCGAUACUGUCGGCCUUGAGUUCGGUAGAGGAAAGCGGAAUUCCUGGUGUAGCGGUGAAAUGCGUAGAUAUCAGGAAGAACACCGAAGGCGAAGGCAGCUUUCUGGGCCGACACUGACGCUGAGGAGCGAAAGCGUGGGGAGCGAACAGGAUUAGAUACCCUGGUAGUCCACGCCGUAAACGAUGAGUACUUGAUGGUGGGGGAUUCGACCCCUUCACUGUCGGAGCUAACGCGUUAAGUACUCCACCUGGGGACUACGGCCGCAAGGCUG
rnacentral:rRNA from 1 species